CCUUCGAUAGCUCAGCUGGUAGAGCGGAGGACUGUAGCUCAUAUAUAGCAAUCCUUAGGUCGCUGGUUCAAUUCCGGCUCGAAGGA
rnacentral:tRNA from 1 species